CACAGCUCUUAAUGCAAAGAAGCAGGCAAACAGGAUGGAGGUGUAAGAUGACACAGGCCUAGUCUGAUGAAGCUGCUGGUGCCAGGUGAAGAAAAGGCCCCUUCUCUAACUAAGGUGGUGGUGUAUGCAUUUGUUGUUCAUAAAAGCGAAGGAAUAGCAUCAGCAAACAUCCUAUUGAAUUCCAGUCUCAUUGCCACUCAAAUCCUUGGUAUCUAUUAAGAAGACAUUCCUGCCAAUUGUGUCAAUGCAGUUAAUGAUCUUUUGAUGUCAUGAGUGUGAAAUCAUCAAACUCAUUUUUCCUUUACACCAAAUUCAGGAUUUGAACUCAGAUUUCUAAAGGUGAAAGGCUAGUGUCCUAACCUACUAUGGCACUGAACUUCCAUAGUUAAUUGUUUAAAUGAGUGUUGAGAGGCAAAUAUAAGUCAAUUACUAAUUUAAGAAAAUCUCUCAUUGGUCUUUAUGCAAAAUCCAGUUAGCAUGAAUGAGAAUUUUAAGUGCUGAAACAGGAGGAAUAAAUGGUAUUUAGAUAUUUUCAUUCAAUUCUUUACCUCCUUUUGAUGUGUCUUAUGCUCAUGGAACUUUAACUACAUUUGUGCCUUUCACUUAAAUUCAUACCCUCUGCGUUUGUGCAGAGAUUGAAAAUAGGGACCUUCACCCGUUCUGCUACUUCAUGGUCACUCUUCUUGUUGCUUCUUACAUAGAUGCUAAAGAGUAGGAGGGACGAUAGUAUGGCAAUCUUGGUCAAAGAAUUAAAAAGAAAAGAAAAGCUAUGCUGUAGAGACUGAUACAAUUAAACAUCUACUAUAAUACUGUAUGGUGCAGCAUGUAAUUUUGAUAAGAUUUAUUUUGUAACUUAAUAAGAGGUUUUUCUAUUAUACCUAAUUCAUCUUCACCAAAUCCCCAAACGUGUCCUGAAAAGAAGCCUCUACAUGAGCCACUGUUGCCAAGACAUAGAGGUUUCUCUUGCCACUGUUUGGUCACAGGACUCUGUUGCAGCGUUAAAAAAUUUCUGUAAUCAAACACAUACAAUGCAAACUGUUAUAUAGCAUUUGAAAAGAGAACUUAAAAUGUCCAGAUAAUAAAAAGGAGUUGCAGUAGGACACGUCUAUAAAAUUAAUCACAAUAUAGUUUCCCAGCAGGCAUUGGACAAACACAAAAAAGCAUAACAUUCAUCCUUCUGCCAUCCUUACUCCAGUUGCUUAGUAUCUAUGUGUGGCAGAAU